GUACGGUACGCUUCUAGCGUACCUCCUCCCUGAACCUAGGCCACUCCGUGCUCAGCACGGGGUGGUUUUUUUUGGCCCCG
rnacentral:sRNA from 1 species